rnacentral:tRNA from 1 species
GGUGGCUCAGUGGUAGAGUGCUUGCCUUGCAUGCAUGAAGGCCUGGGUUCGAUUCCUCAGCACCA